rnacentral:rRNA from 1 species
CCUACGGGUGGCAGCAGUGAGGAAUAUUGGUCAAUGGGCGCGAGCCUGAACCAGCCAAGUCGCGUGAGGGAUGACUGCCCUACGGAUUGUAAACUUCUUUUGUAAAGGAGUAAAGUGAGGCACGUGUGCCUUUUUGUAUGUACUUUAUGAAUAAGGAUCGGCUAACUCCGUGCCAGCAGCCGCGGUAAUACGGAGGAUCCGAGCGUUAUCCGGAGUUAUUGGGUUUAAAGGGGGCGUAGAUGGGUUGUUAAGUCAGUUGUGAAAGUUUGCGGCUCAACCGGAAAAUGGCAGUUGAUACUGGCAGCCUUGAGUGCAGUAGAGGUAGGCGGAAUUCGUGGUGUAGCGGUGAAAUGCAUAGAUAUCACGAAGAACUCCGAUUGCGAAGGCAGCCUACUAAACUGCGACUGACAUUGAUGCUCGAAAGUGUGGGUAUCAAACAGGAUUAGAUACCCGAGUAGUC